rnacentral:misc_RNA from 1 species
GCUCCUACCGAUUUCGAGUGUUCAGGUGAAUUAUUCGGACUGACGCAGUGCUCAGCUUCUGGACGUUGCGUUGGAAAGUUUCAUGAACCUUAUCACUUAGAGGAAGGAGAAGUCGUAACAAGGUUUCCGUAGGUGAACCUGCAGAAGGAUCAAGAUCUGAUGAUCGUCUUUUAGUGAAAGAGUGUAGAUCUCGUUUUUCUCCGUAUCAUUACAUAUAAUAUUCUUUUCUUUCUUUUUUCUUUUUCUUUUCCUUUCUUAUUUCUUCUUUUUUUUUCUU